rnacentral:snRNA from 1 species
AUACUUACCAGACAGGGGAGAUACCAUGAUCAUGAAGGUGGUUUUCCCGGGCCGAGAAUAUUUUUUUUCUAUGGUUUUCUUCUCAUCUUUUGAUCUUUCUAUCACCAUCUACUAUAUAUUGUGUUAAUUUUUUCAGUGUGCUCU